GUCGCAAGACUAAAACUCAAAUGAAUUGACGUGGGCCCGCACAAGCGGUGGAGCAUGUGGUUUAAUUCGAUGCAACGCGAAGAACCUUACCUGGCCUUGACAUAGUAAGAACUUUCCAGAGAUGGAUUGGUGCCUUCGGGAACUUACAUACAGGUACUGCAUGCCUGUCGUCAGCUCGUGUCGUGAGAUGUUGGGUUAAGUCCCGCAACGAGCGCAACCCUUUUCCUUAUUUGCCAGCGAGUAAUGUCGGGAACUUUAAGGAUACUGCCAGUGACAAACUGGAGGAAGGCGGGGACGACGUCAAGUCAUCAUGGCCCUUACGGCCAGGGCUACACACGUGCUACAAUGGUCGGUACAAAGGGUUGCUACCUAGCGAUAGGAUGCUAAUCUCAAAAAGCCGAUCGUAGUCCGGAUUGGAGUCUGCAACUCGACUCCAUGAAGUCGGAAUCGCUAGUAAUCGCGGAUCAGAAUGCCGCGGUGAAUACGUUCCCGGGCCUUGUACACACCGCCCGUCACACCAUGGGAGUUUGUUGC
rnacentral:rRNA from 1 species